CCAAAGGAAAGGAAAUUAGGUUUUACGAUUUAGGAUUUGGGGAGAUUGGAAAAAAUGGAAGAGAGGGUCUGCUGCUUGAAGAUGGCGGCCAUGGCUUGGUUGGAGAAGCGUCGCCAGUGGCGGGAGAUGAAGCACGUCCUCGCCUGGACGUGACUGGGCCGAGGAUAACGACGUCUUCCAUGGCUCCAACGGCGAAGACAGGGGGUAUGGUGGUUUAUGGGUUCCGGGUAUGUCUCCAGCAAAGCCUAAGGCUUCUUUCAACAGUGGGUUUUCGACCAAGGGAUUGAAUGUGGUCUAUAUUUAAGCCAAAAGAGGUGGUAUAUGUGCGGAAUGUGGGGGGAAACUUCUUACUAACAUAAUAGGGUGUAGUUAAUGGAGAAAAUCCGUUAUCUCCUUUAGUGACUGGAUAUGUUUUUUUUUAUGGCCAAAAGAUGCACGGCUUAGCUAUUGUAAUUUUAUCGCUUGAAUUUGGCAUAAUGCUUAUCGUGUGAAUUAAUGGAUUGA